CUAUAUAAACAAUAUAAACAUCAUCUUAUACAAAUAUGAGUAGUUUAUGAAACAGGUCGUCAAUAAUCGUUUUGUCUCUUUUUUACUAGUAAAAAAUUUCAUUUGGUAAGAGAGAUAAAUACAUGUUUGUUAUUUCUAGUUAUGGCAACAUUUUGUGAUGACGUCAUAACAGCUGUAGGUACGUGCCGUUUUUCGCCAUUUAAUAUGUUCUGUUUCGUGGUACUUCUGCUGUCAAAUAGCUGUUUACGUGAUCGUAUUUUGCGGAUAAAUUGCGAGGAUAUGGUUUGCUAAAUCGAAGUUGAAGUUGAAAAAAGUGUUAUUCAACAUGCCCGUGUCUUGUAUAGUGCAGUGUGGUGCCAGAAAGGACAGAAAUCAACUCCAUUUGUCACUUCAUAGAUAUUAAAUCCAAAAGUGUCGACUGGAUUUACAUGAAAAGUCAGUUCAAGAAGACGAGAUGAAAAAUUUAAAAGAAAAGCUGAACAAAUCACGCCUCAAGAUCAAAC